UACGUAGGGGGCAAGCGUUGUCCGGAUUUAUUGGGCGUAAAGAGCGUGUAGGCGGCCAUACAGGUCAGCUGUGAAAACUCGAGGCUCAACCUCGAGACGUCGGUUGAAACCGUAUGGCUAGAGUCCGGAAGAGGAGAGUGGAAUUCCCGGUGUAGCGGUGAAAUGCGCAGAUAUCGGGAAGAACACCCGUGGCGAAAGCGAGGUCCUGGACGCCUACUGACGCUGAGACGCGAAAGCGUGGGGAGCGAACAGG
rnacentral:rRNA from 1 species